UGUUUUGCCGAACACUUCAAUAUGUCUUUUGAUCGGUUUGUAAGGGACUUCCCACACAGACCUUUAGGUCGUCGCCAACAGUUUGGCGCGCCGUCCGCAGCGCAGCGAUCGUCAGAUCGCGACAGCGUGAGGACAAAAGACACCCGGUCUGUCCGGGUUGAAGGGUUCAGCGAAAGAGGUUUCUAGAUAUCGCA
rnacentral:misc_RNA from 1 species